rnacentral:rRNA from 1 species
UACGUAGGGACCAAGCGUUGUCCGGAAUCAUUGGGCGUAAAGAGCUCGUAGGCGGCUUGUUGCGUCGACUGUGAAAACCCGCAGCUUAACUGCGGGCCUGCAGUUGAUACGGGCAGGCUAGAGUUCGGUAGGGGAGACUGGAAUUCCUGGUGUAGCGGUGAAAUGCGCAGAUAUCAGGAGGAACACCGGUGGCGAAGGCAGGUCUCUGGGCUGACACUGACGCUCAUGCACGAAAGCGUGGGGAGCGAACAG